rnacentral:rRNA from 1 species
ACGAACGCUGGCGGCGUGCUUAACACAUGCCAGUCGAACGGAAAGGCCCUGCUUUUGUGGGGUGCUCGAGUGGCGAACGGGUGAGUAACACGUGAGUAACCUGCCCUUGACUUUGGGAUAACUUCAGGAAACUGGGGCUAAUACCGGAUAGGAGCUCCUGCUGCAUGGUGGGGGUUGGAAAGUUUCGGCGGUUGGGGAUGGACUCGCGGCUUAUCAGCUUGUUGGUGGGGUAGUGGCUUACCAAGGCUUUGACGGGUAGCCGGCCUGAGAGGGUGACCGGCCACAUUGGGACUGAGAUACGGCCCAGACUCCUACGGGAGGCAGCAGUGGGGAAUAUUGCACAAUGGGCGGAAGCCUGAUGCAGCAACGCCGCAUGCGGGAUGACGGCCUUCGGGUUGUAAACCGCUUUCGCCUGUGACGAAGCGUGAGUGACGGUAAUGGGUAAAGAAGCACCGGCUAACUACGU